rnacentral:lncRNA from 1 species
AAGAAAUUUGGUGCCUCGUUGCUCACCAUCACCACUGGCCCUGGUAGCUCUGCGGAUAAACCAGCUUGGAUUUCACCCUUGAGGAUUAACAUUGCAACACUGCAUAGGCACAUAAAGCCACCUGAAAGUCAAGAUGAGGCAGGUGGGAGGCGGAAAGCCUCGGGCAAGUUUUCAAGCCCGUCCUCUGUCUGGAAACAGACUCAGAGGUGUUGCAGGGGACACGGUGGGAGUGAGACCAGCCCUUCGGUGUGCGUGGGAUCUGGGGGAGGCCUGUGACUGCCGGCUUUCCCCUGCUUCUCUGACAACCUGCAUGACUCAGCAGAGGCAGCCAUAAUCCUGGAGAGCCCCGGUUUAAGAUCUCCAGAACCUUCAGGAAGGGGAGAGUGGCUCA